rnacentral:rRNA from 1 species
AAUGAACGCUGGCGGCAUGCCUUACACAUGCAAGUCGAACGGCAGCAUGACCUAGCUUGCUAGGUUAUGGCGAGUGGCGAACGGGUGAGUAAUGCAUCGGAACGUGCCUUUUAGUGGGGGAUAACGUAGCGAAAGUUACGCUAAUACCGCAUAUUCUCUGAGGAGGAAAGCAGGGGACCUUCGGGCCUUGCGCUAGAAGAGCGGCCGAUGUCGGAUUAGCUAGUUGGUGAGGUAAAGGCUCACCAAGGCAACGAUCCGUAGCGGGUCUGAGAGGAUGAUCCGCCACACUGGGACUGAGACACGGCCCAGACUCCUACGGGAGGCAGCAGUGGGGAAUUUUGGACAAUGGGCGCAAGCCUGAUCCAGCCAUGCCGCGUGAGUGAAGAAGGCCUUCGGGUUGUAAAGCUCUUUCGGCUGGGAAGAAAUCGCACCCUCUAAUACAGGGUGUGGAUGACGGUACCAGCAUAAGAAGCACCGGCUAACUACGUG